CCUACGGGAGGCAGCAGUAGGGAAUUUUCGGCAAUGGGGGGAACCCUGACCGAGCAACGCCGCGUGAACGAAGAAGUUAUUCGUAAUGUAAAGUUCUUUUAACAGGGAAGAAAGAGAAAUUUGACGGUACCUGAAGAAUAAGCUCCGGCAAACUACGUGCCAGCAGCCGCGGUAAUACGUAGGGAGCGAGCGUUAUCCGGAAUUAUUGGGCGAAAGGGGUGGGUAGAUGGCAUAGUAAGUAUUUUGUAAAAAUGCUGGGCUAAACGCAGUAGGGCAAAAGAUACUGCAAAGCUAGAGUAUGACAGAGGCGAGUGGAACUAGAGGUGUAGCGGUAAAAUGCGUAAAUAUAUGUAAGAACACCAGUGGCGAAGGCGGCUUGCUGGGUCGAUACUGACAUUGAGGCACGAAAGCGUGGGGAGCAAACAGGAUUAGAUACCCUUGUAGUC
rnacentral:rRNA from 1 species